GUGAGGAAUAUUGGACAAUGGGCGCAAGCCUGAUCCAGCCAUGCCGCGUGCAGGAAGACGCAUCUAUGGUGUGUAAACUGCUUUUGUACGGGAAGAAACACUCCCUCGUGAGGGAGCUUGACGGUACCGUAAGAAUAAGGAUCGGCUAACUCCGUGCCAGCAGCCGCGGUAAUACGGAGGAUCCAAGCGUUAUCCGGAAUCAUUGGGUUUAAAGGGUCCGUAGGCGGUUUAAUAAGUCAGUGGUGAAAGUCCAUCGCUCAACGAUGGAACGGCCAUUGAUACUGUUAGACUUGAAUUACAAGGAAGUAACUAGAAUAUGUAGUGUAGCGGUGAAAUGCUUAGAUAUUACAUGGAAUACCAAUUGCGAAGGCAGGUUACUACUUGUGGAUUGACGCUGAUGGACGAAAGCGUGGGGAGCGAACAGGAUUAGAAACCCGAGUAGUCC
rnacentral:rRNA from 1 species